GCCAGUUCUUGGGGUCAAGUUUCGAGCCUCGCAAGUCCGAACUUAGGCUUCUGCCCUCUUCACUCCACCUUCCCUACAGGUUCAGCUUGGAAGAGUUCCCAGGAUGCCUCAGCUGGCCAGAGGCCACACCAGGAUUUUGAGGAUCUAAUGAACAUCACGCACACUAUUCUGAAAGAAGAAAGAAAGAAAGAAAGAAAGAAAGAAAGAAAGAAAGAAAGAAAGGAAGGAAGGAAGGAAGGAAGGAAGAAAGAAAGAAAGAAAGAAAGAAAGAAAGAAAGAAAGAAAGAAAGAGAGAAAGGAGGAAAGCAAGCAAGCUCAUGUAAACACCUCUAUCCCCUGCUCUUGUAGCAACUCAAGCAAACUUAACUCAGUGAAGUGAGUACAGACACGGCCAUCAAGACUGUAUCAACUCAGUGUUAUUUGGUUCUUAGUUAAGCCUGACAUUAUGAUAAUAAUAAUUCUCCUAGCACUGCAGGCUCAUUAAAGAAAUUCAUCUUCUAGCUACGAGUAGUGGCAAACAUCUACAGUCCCAGCAUUUGGAAGACUGAAGCAAAUUGUGUGCCCAUGGCCAACUGGGUACAUAGUGAGACCUGGUCUCAAAAACCAACAAAACAAAUAAGAAGAGAAAGAAAGAAAUUUGUAUUCCUAAUAAACACUCUCUGCUGCCUUCAGCAGUGACAGCACUCUCUAGUGAUCUGUAUGUGCAAUUAGAUCUAAGUCAUUUCAUGGAGGCUCCACGUGCAGUGUUCAUUGUGCCUGGUUCUUGAAUCACAGGUCCCAAACUGUGCUGAGAUGGCCCAAGCUCAUAAUGAGAACCCACAGGGACACUGCAGGACACGCACAUUCUUUGAGAAAGCACAGUGACAGGUGUCAGACCACAUGAGAACUGCAGCUCACAGUCGUUUGGAAAGCCGGGCUUUGGCAUUUGCUCUAGCAAUAGGAAGUGCUGUUAGGAAAUCAGCUGGUGCAGGAAAUAAUGUGAAGAUGUAGGAUCUAAGUAGUGUGGAGUCUAACAAGCACACACGUCCCAUUGCUGAGUUAGUGAGGCGAAGAAUACGAGUAUACUAUUCACUUUUUAAUUUGUAUGUUUUUAAGUAAAACUAUGAACUUGCUAGGACAUAUUAUUGAUUUAGGCAAACUAUUAUAUUACUAUAACAAGCAGGUGAUUUUUUUUAAAUCAACAGGCACAAUAAAAAGAUUGGUAAUUUGUAAAGAGAAUGAGCCAACUGUGAAAACAAGCCUGCAAAUGCCUAUUCCGGUGAGGGAAUAACUUUAACAGGACCCUAUCCUCACCUCUGAGUGGCUCAGAGAGGCAAUCAGAAAUUUCGACAUACAUGAAUAAAAGAAAUUCAAAAAUCUAGAACAUUUCAAGGAUCAGAAAAGAGAAAGUUAAGAUGCUGUUGACUUCAGUCUUCUAAAAAAGGGUGUUACACCAGCUAUAGUGGCACACAGUGUUAAUGCCAGCACUCAAAAGGCAGAAGGCAGAUCUCUGCGAGCUUGAGGCUUGUCUAAGCUACCUAGUGAAUUCUAAUACUAAGUACUUAGUAAGAACCGCCUCCCAUCUUGGGGGAGGUAAGACUUCAGUAAAUGGAAAAGGAAGAAUAUUUUGUUGUUGUUGUUGCUGUUGUUGUUGCUGUUGUUGUUGUUAUUGUUGUUGUUGUUGUUGUUGUUGUUGUUGUUGUGAGAAUACAUAGACAUGCUUGGCCUGCAGACAUACCUUUGUUUGUGUUCUGGGAAGAAAUCCCGUUGUCUAAAAAAGAGGAAGGGCGAAUUGGGGCAAGAGAUGACCAUAUUGCCAGUGCUGCAGCUUUUCACCAUAUACAAUGAGAAGACCAGAAUCUUCUGGGAAGGAAGUAAUAGAAUAGAAAAAAAGAGUGCUUCGGGAAGCUUCACAUGACAGGCCCCUGGGGACACCCAUCCCUGGCAACAGAGUCUAAGCUGCUGGUUGAAGCUGCAGGGAAAGACAGAGUAAAGAAAGGAGGUGGAAGGAUGGCUUAGUGGUUAAGAGCACUGGUUGUUCUUAUCUAUCUAUCUAUCUAUCUAUCUAUCUAUCUAUCUAUCUAUCUAUCUAUCUAUGAUCCAGGUUCAAUUCCCAGCUUCUGCAUGGCAGCUCAAAUCAUCUAUAAUUCAUACCCUCAUAUAGACAUACAUGCAGGAUAGACAUCAAAGCACAUGGAAUAAAUAUUUAAAAAGGGAAGAAAAUGGGUGGCAGCCAGAGGAAGGCCUCACCCAGGGGAACAACUGAAAACUUCCUGGGUGGAGACAUCAUCUAUAGGGUCUAACAGAGGAGGCAAAUUCUACCCAGUAGCCACAAGGUGUAGCCUUUCCCAGGUCCUCGGUGUCUUUGGGGAGGACACUGUGAGCAGGUGUUAGAGACAGAUGGCAGAUGGCUAUAGAAAGGACCAGAGAGGCUCUUCCGUGACCUUUGUUUGUGAAACGCCUUGGAGUAAGAGCACUGGAGAAAGCUGUAUGAGGUAAUUCGAUUCUAAGACUCAAGAAAGGUGAAGAGACCGGCACAGAAUAGUUCUAAGGGCUAUCUGCUCUGGAAAAGGGGGCAGUGCUCCAACUUAGUAUCAAAACUAAGGGUACAGUUUGCUGCCAGCCCUCCAUCUUCUCUUCUUCCCAUUUCACACACCGUGUUAGGCAGGGACAGCUAUCCAUGAUGUAAGGAGGGCAGGUGCAGUUAGGUAGAUUGUCAUAGCAUGGCGAGAUUAUUUUUUUCCCAUCUGGGGAGCUGGCUCAAUAAGAGAAUAAAAUUAAAGAUGUGAAUGUGAUGGUGUGGAUUUCAAUAGAUGAAAAGAUAUACAAACGACUAGAGGGAGAUAGAGAUGAUGGAUGGAUGGAUAGAUAGAUAGAUAGAUAGAUAGAUAGAUAGAUAGAUAGAUAGAUAAAUAGAAUACUAUAAUUCCAUACAUGUCUUAUCUUCCUCUGUCUCCUGAAAGGAGAGGAGACACAACAAUCUGUAGUGAACACAUCUAAUACAAAGUUGACUUUAAAAUUAUACAAUUUAUGAAAAGAAACUGAGGACUACAGAUAGGGAAAUAGCAAACAGUCAUCUGUCAUUGUGUCAGAGCUGGAGUAAAUGCUCAAAGGACUCAUGUUAAAAGGACCAGAGGCUGCCCGGAAGUACCUUCUACUGGAAAAAAAAUGACAAGUUCAGAUCAGUAUAAUGCGAAUAAAAGAUUAUACUCAUUGAAAAAAUAAGAAAUCAUCCAUCCAUAGAAAUAGAGAGAAAGUUGAUGGCUUUGAGUGAAGAGCAAAGUAUAUCAUUCCAUGGCCACUCGCACAAGAUAUGUAUUAACUUCAAAGAAAUAAAGAGCACCUUCCUGAAAAGAAACCUGGGGGUAAUGCCACUGCAGUCAAAUAAUCUAAGAGAACAGCAGCAGCAGCAGCAGCAGCAGCAGCAGCAGCAGCAGCAGCAGCAGCAGCAGCAGCAGCAGCAGCAGGUCAAAUGGAGAUCAUGGGCCACCCAACAUGUCUCAGAAUCCAAGGCUCACUCUGCAAAAGUCCCGCAGAAGGUGCUGAACUCGGUCAACAAAAACACCAGUGAGGACAGGGACUCUGUCAAGUAUUUUGCCUGAAACGUAUUCAUUUCUAAGCCUUCAAACAAGCCACAAAACCUGAGAAAGAUGAAGGAAUCAGCCCAGACCAAGGGAUUAAAUAGACACUACAAUGUGGCUAUGCCCCUGCCUGUAGAACUAUACAUUAAGUCAGGGGAGCGGAAAUGCUGGAUGUAGGAGUGGCAACAAUCUCAUACAGUAGAAGGAAAAAAAAUCAGUUCUGAGCUGCACUGUAACUUUUUUGCAUUGUGAGGUUCAGUCAACAAUUUUUUGAAAGUAUAAUUUAUACAGUGUGUUAGAUACUUUAGUGGGUAGCCAUGAGCAAUAACAAUAUUGUUUUGGGGGGUCUCUGGGAUCUCACUGCCCAAUAACUCCAUUGGAAUAUUUUGUAUUUGCACAAACCCUAUUGCUUGAAGACAUCACACACUUUGAUGAUAGGAGAUGGAGAAAUCAGGCUGGAACUGACCUGGAAGCUACCUGCUAACUAGCUUGCCUAGUGACUCAAGGUGUUUCCUAGGCUAUUUGGGGUCAGGGGAGAGCCAGGACUUGUCCUGUUGACAUACAUAUUCUAUGGAGCCAGUCAUUGUUGUAGCUUGUAGUGAUCGCAGUACACGGAGGAAUGGGGGAGGAUAUGAUCUAAACACAUGGUAUUAUGUAAGAAAUUAUCAAAGAGCAAUUUAUUUUAAAAAUAUUCAGUACUUUAGUCAUUCUCCCAAAGACUUUCAGUGGAGUGCUGCUUGGCAGAAUAAGGUCAUCAAGACAACUUCAGUCUCUUCAGUUUCUGUAGAAGAAAGCUUCAGGGAGGUGCUAGAUCUGGUGGCUGCUGCUGCUGCUGCUGCUGUAGCUGAUGUAGCUGCCACCACCACCAGCACAACCACCUCCAGAGAGCCAUGCUGCUUCUCCUGUGACUAAGUGGAGGCUCCAUGCUUUGUUCCUCAUAUGUUCCAGACAGUCAUAGACAUGGAAUUCUCAAUCACUGCUACAAAAAGCGCUACAAUGCCCCAUGCUAUUUGAUCAUAGACAGUGGGACAUCAGGUAGCUAAGUCCUGCUUUCUAAGCCUCAUGUAAGUGACACAGCCUGGCCUAUCCUGCACCUUCAGCACCACCUCCAAGCAGUCUUUAAGUGCAGGUUUUAUUCUUCGAAUUCUUUAUUAUGGGAAGGAUGUUAGAAUAAGGAUGGAAUAGGUGUGAGUUACCAAACCGUCAAGUUCAUCACACAGAGUAGAGAGAGCUGAAAGGAGGAAGUAAGGACGUUUACUUUAUUUAGACAGUGAUGAACACCAUAAUAAAAUUCAACGUAGUUAAGAAAAUCUGUAUAUAUGUCAGUAAAAUGGGAAUUCUUAAAAUAAUAACGCACCAUUUAUAUAUGAUUUAAAACGUUCCAAAAUAAUACUAUAUAUUAUUAAAAGAAAAAGUCUAAAA